rnacentral:lncRNA from 1 species
GCAUGUAGUAGCACCAGUCCUCCCGUUGCGGUGGAGACUACAGCCACGCCGCUCCUCCGAGCGGCCGUUGGCCUCGCUCAGCCCAGCCGCAUCACGCGGGAGAGGAGGCCCCACGCUCAAGUCUGAGCACUUGCGGCUGUCGGCGUAACCCUGGCGCACAACACUGCGUGUCUACGCGGGACCUUAGCGACGUCGAGCGCUCUCGCGCAUGGCGGGAUGCCUUACCAAGUGCUGGCAUCUAGCAAGCAGUGUUAGCGCUGUAGCGCUCGCACGCGCAUGGCGCGAUGCCUUUCCAAGUGAUGGAAUCUAGCAAGUAGUUCCAGCACUGCAGCGCCCUCGACACGGUCGAAGCGACCUCCUCUCGACGACGGAGCACCCGACGCUCCUUGACCGUCGGCCCGCCGCUGCCCCUGCACGCGCGGUGCUUGUUCCUGCGUCCGUUGGCUCGUGGCAGCCAACAACCAUGGCCACCAAUGGAGUGGCGUGUUGCCCGGCCCGCGGCGACUUACGUGUGUGCCGUUACAUUCCACUGGAGCACGGGAUGCGGCUCUCGCCAUGGUGCAGCCCUCACCGACUUCCCACGAUAGUGCGCGACAGCAGCGGUGCCCACCCGGUGCGGAGGCGGUGCCCAGCGAUGCGGUGCGCCCUCUGCGGCAGCGAAGCACGCGGCCAUGGAGUGGCCCUCGGCCACGGCCGGGAUCUCGGUCCAAGGAGAGUCAUGGCUCCUCCUCCUUCCCCAGUGAGGCCCCUCUGGAGACGUGCUUACCGACGGCAGUUACUCCCAUGAGGAACUGCUCAAGAGAGAAUUUAGGGAAAACGUAUCCCUUUGCCAUUUUGCAUUAAAGAUCUUGUGUUAACAUGAAUUUGCAAAAGGCCCAAACAGUGGUCUAGACUAGUUUGCCACAAUACCCUUCUUUUUGUGGGAUUUCACAAAUUGGUUCUGUUAAAAUACUAUUUACUAGUAUUCACAUAUUUUAGACCCUGUUAUAUCAAGUAUUUAUCUUCAAUAUUGUGUUUCUGUAGAGUACCUUGUAUUCCAGAACAUAUAUGUGAUGUAAUAUAUUUCCAUGUCCUAAUUGGGAGACUUUUAGUUUCUUGCAAGUAAAAAUCUAUUCAUCUUAA